GUAAGUGAUGAAGAAAUAUAAUUGGAAAUUUUAAUUCUAAUUUCUCGUCCCUUUACAG
rnacentral:pre_miRNA from 1 species